rnacentral:lncRNA from 1 species
GGGGUGACUCCGUGAAUGUCCUGAGCGUACAGGAGUGUGUGAGUGUCCCUGAGUGUGUGCUUGUGUCUGGGGGUGACUCCGUGAAUGUCCUGAGCUACAGGAGUGUGUGAGUGUCCCUGAGUGUGUGCUUGUGUCUGGGGGUGACUCCGUGAAUGUCCUGAGCGUACAGGAGUGUGUGGAUGUCCCUGAGUGUGUGCUUGUGUCUGGGGGUGACUCCGUGAAUGUCCUGAGCGUACAGGAGUGUGUGAGUGUCCCUGAGUGUGUGCUUGUGUCUGGGGGUGACUCCGUGAAUGUCCUGAGCUACAGGAGUGUGUGAAUGUCUCUGAGUGUGUUUCCAGUGUGCAUUGGUGGGACCAGGUGGACAAGGGCUUGUGUAACUGUGUUGCUAGCAGUCUUCUGAGAUCAGGUUUGAACGUUUGUGAGUCCACAUCGAGCCACCUCUACCCACUGACCCCUGAGCCUUCAAAAACCCCAGCCUCUGUGUCCCCCUCCCUUCCUGGUGACUCACCUCCCUGCCAUCCCUGCCCCUCCCCCACCAGCCUCCUGUCUUGAAGGGCAGUCCCCUCUGUGCAGUUUGCCUUCUUUCCACCCAAACGGAGUCUCUGUCACUUCCUCCAGGUAGCCUUCUGUGAUCAGAGAAGGAGCCCUAACAUUAGCUCAGCAGUUGUACCUCCAAUUGACAAAUGAGAACGUGGGCUCAAAGUACCGCAGUGACCACAGCAGUUCCCAUGACGGGGAAGCUGAGGCUCAGAGAGGAUUCAGAAAAUGCAGACCAUAUCCACCCCCAACACUACCUGCCCAGCCGGGAAGCACAGGGGUCAUUCUCUUGGAGGGUGAGAGAGGGCAACUCCACUCUGGGUAAGAAAGUCAUCACAAGAAGGUGCGUCUGGGUGGAAUUACAGGUGAGUUUGAUUUACAACAUAGGGCUUUUCUGCAUUUCUCAGAUUCUCUUUGAGCCUGAAUUCAGUUUGUAAUCAGAUAUCCCCCAAUAAUACUAAGUGUAUUUUUGUUACCUGCUUUAGGCAUUAUCUAAAUCAACUCUGACAACCACUCUGGUAGGGAGUUGUUACCAUUGCUAUUCCUGUUUUAAAGAGGAAGAAAGAGGAGUCUAGACAUUUGCCCAAGGUCAUACAGCAAGUGGCACAGCUGUGACUCUAACCACAUUAAAUGCAAUUGAAUCAAUCAAAAGUUAAUAUCAGGGAUGGUCCGGGUCUAUGGGAGAAUGCUGAUUUGCUUGCUCCUCUGUGACUUGCCCAAUGGCACUCUGGAUGUUGUGUGGACAAACAGCCUGGGCCCCACAGAAAGCUGCUGAGCGGCCCCUGGAGACAGGAGAAGCCUGGCAUGAUCCCCCACCCCUUGCCAGGACCUGGACACCUCUCGCUGCUCAAGACAAUGGGAACACU